UUUCUCUGUUGCAAAAGUGCACCCUCCUCAGAUGGGGAUGGGGAGUGGCCUUCACUAGGGUGGUCCUCCUGGCUGAGCAGGGCCGGCCCAGGGGAGGGCGGGGCCAGCACGUCCCCAGAACAGUGCCUGUCCAGGGGCACAAGGGUUCACUGAAGACUCAGGAGAGGGGUUUAGAGCACAGCCUCCCUCUCCAGGGUCAGGUUCACGGGAGCUGUUGGGGGCUCCUUCCCUCGCAGCAGUGACCACUCCAAGGACCACGGCCUGGACAUGAGCGGCAGCGGAGUCUAGAUGAAUAUAGGCAGCAGCCAAAGGCCACAGUCACGACAAACCUACACACUCUCACCACUGUCAUCUCAUAUUGUCCUAAAAUUUCCAGCCAGUGCAAAAAAACAUGAAAAAGAAAAAAUACAGCCAUUGGAAAAGAGGAAAAGUAAUUGUUAUUAGCUGAUGAUGUGAAUGUCUUCCUGAAAACCUUAAGAGAACCAACUGGAAAACAACCAGAAAUGAGAGCAUGGAGUUAGGCAACCGCCGAUCUGCUUUCUGUCACUUGGGCGAGUUUUUCCCGUCCUGGGAUUUCAUAUCUCUGGAAUCCUGCAGUACGUAGCCCUCUGUCUGGCUUCCUCGCUCCGUGUAAUGUUCUUGAGAUUCAUCCAUGCAGCUGUGUAUACCUGCAGUGAUUGUUUCUCUUGUUGAAUUGCUGAGAAGGGUUCCAUCGUAUGCCUUUUCCAGUUUAUUUGUUCAUCUGUUGUUAGACAUUUGAGUUAUUUCCAGCUUGGGACUCUUAUGAACAAAACUGCUAUAAACAUGCAUAUUCAAGUCUUUGUGGAUAUGUGCUUUCUUUUGUCCUGGAUAAAUGUCUCCACGUGGGCUUCCUGGGUCUCACGGACCUGCUGCAGGGGAAGGGGCCAGGAGGCCAGGAGACUGGACAGCAGGAGGCUCGAGGACCACGCAGACACUGGCCUUGGGAGCACCCACCUCUCUGACCCGCUCCAGAGGGGGCUAGAGACCUGGAGGCAAAGCCCAGGGUCAGAAACCACAGAUGGCUCCUAAGGCCAGGUGGGCAGCUGAACCCAGCAGGGUGAGGAGCAGGAGGUAUCCCUGGGCCCCAGCACCCACCCAGUGUGGUGCCCCCAGAGCUGGCCUGGAGGAAGAUGCCCCCCCUGCUAGACCUCAGGGCUGACAAGCCCCCUGCGAGGGGCUGCGGGGCCAUGGGUGGGGGCUGCUUUCUCCCGGCUCCCUGGGCCCCAGGGCCCCUCUCCUCAGCCUGGAAGCCCACAUGCUCCUGACUCCAUGGCUGUGGUUCUUGGCCCACACUCUGGGUUCUGGAGGCUGAGGGGGCUCCGACGGGGGCACACCUGACAUCUGCUAAGGAAGCAGGAGGUCCCAGGGCACAGCGGCCACAUCAGCUGGAGGCACUGGGAGAGCUGCACUCCCGGGCUAAACAGAGCCAGGCAUGUGCUCCACGGGGAGUGGGUGGGGCACUGCCCUCAGUGGUCUUGGCCCAGGCUGCCUCUGGCUAGCGAGGGAGUGCGCUCCUGGGUGGCCUGGCUGCACGGCCGUCCUGCAUGGCCCAGCUUUUGUCUGUGUCCCUGUGCAGCCUCAUAGGCCCCGCAGCCCCCUGGGAUCCCAUAUCUGCACAGGUGGCCUCUGCUGGGAGGGAAGUGGGUGGCUCUGAUUCCUCUCUGGCUCCUGUUCUCUCCUGGGGCCCCUGGAGGUGGGCGGGCGGCCUCGAAGCCUGCCUAUGUGGAAGAAGCUCGGACGGCACCAGCAGGAUGGUCGCAGGACUCAGGGGCCCGGGCUGCACCUGUUGUCUGGCCUGCCUGUGCUCGGGUUUCUCCCUCCCUCCUGGAGCCCCCAACCAAUGGGGGAAGCAGGCAAACAGUGGGGGCCCCGCCUGGCCCAGGGAAGGCUUUAUGGAAGAGGCGAGGCCUGAGACCCCAGGAAGGAGGAGCAGCCUCUGGGUCAGGGGAGGGCAGGGGCCAGAGCUGGCAGGAGG
rnacentral:lncRNA from 1 species